GAAGAGGGAGAAGCAGGCUCCAUGCACCGGGAGCCCGACGUGGGAUUUGAUCCCGGAUCUCCAGGAUCGCGCCCUGGGCCAAAGGCAGGCGCCAAACCGCUGCGCCACCCAGGGAUCCCACUUGAGCACUUUUUAUGAUUCAUUGACAACUGUUGCCUUUCCAGGGUUUCAGUUAUCCACUGGCAGCUGAAGCCCAGAAGAAGAUGAUCCUCCUUCUGACAUAUCCUUGGGUCAGGAGUAGCUUAAUGCAAUGUCACAAUACCUGCAUCCUUUACCUCACUUCAUCCUGUCAUGUAGGCAUUUGAGCAUCUCACAUCAUCACAAGAAGAUUCCUUGGCCAACAAGCUUUCAAUGAGUAAACUUGUUUUGGAGACACUAUUUCCCAUACCCGCCAAUCAGAAUAUUCUUUCAACAAAACACAAGAAUGGGAUUUUAAAGUGGGUUGCUAUCUUGUUUUCAAACCUGAAGGAUCUCUUGCUCCUUGACCCACUGUGAAAAAAAGAGAUUGAAAGGUCCCAGAUAUUCAUAUGUCAAGUUCCUGCUUCAAGGACUGAAGCUGUCAAAAAGAAGCUUGGGCAAUCUACAUGAAACCCAACAGAACUGAGGAAACUUGAAAUGAACAUUAUCAAGC